rnacentral:rRNA from 1 species
AGCUCUACAAGCGUAUAUGAUUGCUGCUGCGGUUAAAAAGCUCGUAGUUGAAGUUGGCCAGUGGCAAUUUUGGUACUAUCUUACUUAUUGUAGGGUACUCCAUUAAUGUCGCUCCUCUCUGCAUCGGGAGGUGUAAUCUUAAUUGGUUACAACACCCGCUCUGUGGGUUUAACUUUGAAGAAAUUAGAGUGCUCAAAGCAUGAUAUUGAAUAUCCAAGCAUAGGAUUAUCAAAGAGGACUGCGAUCCUGCUUGAGGCUUAUAGGAUCCAGUAAUGGUUAAAAGGGACAGUCGGGGGCAUUCAUAUUGUCACGCGAGAGGUGAAAUUCGUGGACCGUGGCAAGAUGAACUACUGCGAAAGCAUUUGCCAAGAAUGUUUUCAUUAAUCAAGAACGAAAGUAC